rnacentral:piRNA from 1 species
UAACCAGGACACAAUAGGGAUUGAGAU